rnacentral:rRNA from 1 species
AUUGAACGCUGGCGGCAGGCUUAACACAUGCAAGUCGAGCGGGGGAAGGUAGCUUGCUACUGGACCUAGCGGCGGACGGGUGAGUAAUGCUUAGGAAUCUGCCUAUUAGUGGGGGACAACAUCUCGAAAGGGAUGCUAAUACCGCAUACGUCCUACGGGAGAAAGCAGGGGAUCUUCGGACCUUGCGCUAAUAGAUGAGCCUAAGUCGGAUUAGCUAGUUGGUGGGGUAAAGGCCUACCAAGGCGACGAUCUGUAGCGGGUCUGAGAGGAUGAUCCGGCACACUGGGACUGAGACACGGCCCAGACUCCUACGGGAGGCAGCAUUGGGGAAUAUUGGACAAUGGGGGGAACCCUGAUCCAGCCACGCCGCGUGUGUGAAGAAGGCCUUAUGGUUGUAAAGCACUUUAAGCGAGGAGGAGGCUACUCUAGUUAAUACCUAGGGAUAGUGGACGUUACUCGCAGAAUAAGCACCGGCUAACUCUGUGCCAGCCGCCGCGGUAA